UUUACUCCUUUAUCUUUGCUCCUUGUUACUUUUUUUUAAAAAAAAAACCUCUCUUAAAUGGCUUUCUUUUCUUUUCCCAGUGCUCAAUUUCUCUUCCAUACUUCCACCUUUCCAACAGAGAUAAACAGGAUAAGUUUAAUGAAGGCUGUUUUACUUUCUUCUGUGUUAAAUUUUGUUUUCAUUUGAUGGCAACUUUUUUUCAACAAAGGCAUAUAAUUUUCUUUCGUUCUUUCUUUCUGUCUUUUUUUCUUUCACAGCUUGUCAGGCUACUCUUGCCCGGGAACUAUGCAUAACUGACCAAAAUACAGGGUCUAGUACAAUGGGAGCUCCAUCUUCACUGAGUUCUUUAGGUAUAGCCACAAAACAAAACUAAUAAAUAACACAGCUGUAAUAAGAUGCCUUCUCUGCCAUUGCAGUUGACUUGUCUUAACAGCUUGUGAGGAAAAAUUAAUUGUGUUGCUUUCAGACCUUGUUUCAUAAUCAUCAUUGGUACCUCCUAUCCAGUGUUGUGUUCUUUGUAUGAAAAUGAGCAUACUCAUGUUUCUCACUACAUAUACACAUACAUCACCAACUGAUGAGACAGCUAUUGUGCAACAUAAUUCUCAUGCAGUAUCUUGGCAGCUAACUGGAAAUGUGGUAUCAUCUGGAUCUGUCAUAUGCUGGACCCCUAUUUUCCUCAACACUGUGGUUUGAAAGGUCAGUCAGAAACAGCAAUCUCCAGAAAUUAUUCUAAGAGGCAGCUCCUGUCAAGAGUAAAAACCAGUAGGGUUCUCCUUUGUAUUUACCAAGUGUUACCUAAUUUUUAGCCAUGGUCUGAAUGCCCAGGCUAGUCUAAGCUCAUCAGAUCUCUGAAGCUAAGCAGAGUUGGUCUUGCUUUGUACUUAGAGGGAGACCACCAAGGAAUAGCAGAGUCAUUAUGCAGAGGAAUGCAAUGGCAAACUACUUCUGUUAAUUUCAUGCUUUGAAACCCCUGAUGGUUGUCAUAGGUUGGCUGUGUCUUGACGGCACUUCACACACAGAAAUCCCACUCUUGGCCUAUAGCUGUUCAUCAAUUUCCAAAAUCUGGAUUCUGCCUGGUUUUUUAUAAGUGUGAGCCAAUCUCCAAGGAUGUGAAGGGUUUGAUCCACCACAUUAUGUGGUAAGUGUAGCAAAUGAAAUCUCAUGGAUUCCUACACAUAAUAAUUAUACAUAGAGAAAUAUAGUAUAUGGGUAGUCCUUUAUGUCUCUGACAAUUUCUUUCCUGCUGAUAGAUGGCAAAAGGUUGCCUCUAUAACAGAGGAAACUAAAGAGAAAAAAUCCCCCUCAAUUUCUUUUAUACCAAAGUUUUUUUAAAAAAAGUAUAGUGGUGAAAUGACUUGCUGUAGAAAAGAAAAUGUCACAGCACAGAGUAGAUUGAACACACAGCGGUUCAUAAGGGCUUGCACAAAGAUUGUCUUUAAAGUUCCUUGUCUCUUGUUGUUAUACAUUUCACCUGAACUUCUCAACUGUGUCUGCAGUGUUUUUUCUCCUGACAUGUUCUGUUGUCAGAAUCUCCAAGUACCUUGAAAGAAAGAUCCAUGAGUUCUGUUGUCCUUCAUUCCACCGGAGUCUGUCUCAUAACUAAUCAGAUUUCAGUGGAGUGAAGCACAAGAGACAUGGAGUUGAAUCAGCUGAAAAGAGGAACUCCAUCACUCUCACUCCAGUGGGAAAAAAGUGUUCUAAGGAAGUAAACAGGAUAAGUGAGCUGUCCUAAUAGGAAAAGGUUGUGUGGAGGGGGGGGGGGGGUGACAGAAACUAGAAAAGUAGAAGCCAGUGAACAUUUUAAUGUUCUGCUUGUGUUUACAAAACUUUUGGAUAAAACUGUUUUUGAAAAUGUACUUGAAUUCUGCUUGAUGUGUAAAGUUUGUUGCUUUUGUUUUGAGACAAAGUCUUUGAUGGACUGCAAGCUGCUUCCUUGAGAAGAUAAUUACCACAUUAGAAUAAAAUUAUCAGGAAUUUGAUAUUUAAAUAUUUAAAUCCAUCUUUUUCUGUGAUCUGUUGUCUUGGGCCGUUUCUGCAUGGCACAAUUAUACCAGAUAAAAAUCAGUAUCUUACAA